GUUGACCUCGGAUCAGGUAGGAACACCCGCUUAACUUAA
rnacentral:rRNA from 1 species